rnacentral:rRNA from 1 species
UACGUAGGGUGCAAGCGUUGUCCGGAAUUAUUGGGCGUAAAGAGCUCGUAGGCGGCUUGUCACGUCGGGUGUGAAAGCCCGGGGCUUAACCCCGGGUCUGCAUUCGAUACGGGCAGGCUAGAGUGUGGUAGGGGAGAUCGGAAUUCCUGGUGUAGCGGUGAAAUGCGCAGAUAUCAGGAGGAACACCGGUGGCGAAGGCGGCAUCCUGGACCGGCAUUGACGCUGAAGAGCGAAAGCCAGGGGAGCAAACGGG